CUUGUUUUUCCGAUGAUGCGAGCUCAGAAAUAGAGAGUUUCUCUUGAGCUGAAACAAAUGGUUUCCGUUCUCCUCUCAGGGAGUUGUACCCAGCAAGUUCUGUCGGGCCUGACUGAGGAGAAGGUACUUGACAUCCUUUGAGGGGUUCUGAACAUUAGGUGAACAAUAGCAUUGCCUGUUAAAGGUGAAGCAUCAACUGUCAGCUUUGGAACUACUGGUUUAUUUCAUAAAAUGGGGAAAAUUAAGCAGGGGCAGAAUGGCAGUACCACUAGAUAUCGUCAACGAUGCAAGUUGAUGAUGAUCCAGGGGUGGUAAUAGCGGCUGUUGAUAGGUGAUCUUUGAUAAGAGAUGCCAACUGGGACGUCAGAGCUUGUGGUUCAGCACCUGAUCCAAUAAGCUCCGCGGUGUACCUGCAGAGACAUGAGAACUACUCUGUCAAUGAAUGAGCACUUAAAUGGAGAGAAGAAGAAAGAAGAAAGUUCUCCAAAAGUACCCACAAUUUGUUGAACCAUCGAGGCAGCCCCUCUGCCCCCAUUGUUAUGAGGACGAAUACUAUGGUGGACCCAUUCGGCCCCUCUGCUAUGCUCAACAGUUCAUCCCAAGCUUCCACGGUCAAUAGAUGACAUUCUUCGAGGAUAAAAACUUUCAGACCUGAGGCUUCGAGAGCAACCCCUGCAACUCCAGCAUGGCCUAGUGGGUGAAUUAGAUUCACAGUUGAGUGCCAUGGCCAGAAUUCUUGCUGUCGAAGACUUCCCUGUCCCACUAGGACCAUGGAACAGGAGUUUUGGGGACGCGGUUUGGGAAUGGCAGCUCUGCAGCUUUGGAAGCCAUAGCGCUAUUGAUCAAAGGAAUCGGGAGAGGGGAGGCAGUCUUACGCUGCUUUUGUGCUACUACUCAAACAGGACAUUGUCGGCUGCACAGUGAAGUAAUGCUAGCGUAUACCUCCAAAGAUAUGUUGGGUCCAGGUCGCAGGGCUCACUUACAUACGUAGCUGCUUGAGGGUUGCUCUCUUAAUUCUCGGUUUCUUGGAUCCUUCCCCCUUGGAAUCGAGCAGUGGAGUUGGAUUCCUCGUAUUCAAGAUUGGCCAAACCCCCAAUUUGAGAGAAUAAAGAAUGAGGUAUGAGCCUGCUUUUUGUCCAAAUAGAAGAGAAUCUCUUUUCGAUCAAUCCACUAAGCCGCUCCAUCGGAACGUAAUUCGUAUCCUUGUUUUAUCAAAGAUAACAUCAAAGGUUUUUUUUUUUCUUUCUUUUUUUGCUGGUGCUUGUUUGAAUUUAUUUUUUAGCAGUGUUUAUUAAUAUAAAGAGUAAAGUAAACUAUCAAAAUGGACUAGUUUGAUCCUCAAAUUUUUUUUUACCA